rnacentral:rRNA from 1 species
UACGUAGGGUGCAAGCGUUGUCCGGAAUUAUUGGGCGUAAAGAGCUCGUAGGCGGCCUGUCGCGUCGGAUGUGAAAGCCCGGGGCUUAACCCCGGGUCUGCAUUCGAUACGGGCAGGCUAGAGUGUGGUAGGGGAGAUCGGAAUUCCUGGUGUAGCGGUGAAAUGCGCAGAUAUCAGGAGGAACACCGGUGGCGAAGGCACGGCCUGGCCUGGACCUACGCUGAGU